rnacentral:tRNA from 1 species
GCAGUGGUGGUUCAGUGGUGGAAUUCUCUCCUUCCAUGUGGGAGGUCCAGGUUUGAUUUCUGGCCAAUGUG